rnacentral:tRNA from 1 species
UCGGGUAUGGUGUAACGGCUAACAUUGCCGCCUCUCAUACCUUUCUGAGUGAUCGCGGCAGCUCGGGGUUCGAUUCCCCGUACCCGAA